UAGGGAGAUGCCUCACUCGUUCAGA
rnacentral:piRNA from 1 species